rnacentral:rRNA from 1 species
AUGAACGCUAGCUACAGGCUUAACACAUGCAAGUCGAGGGGCAGCAUUUUAGUUUGCUUGCAAACUGAAGAUGGCGACCGGCGCACGGGUGAGUAACACGUAUCCAACCUGCCGAUAACUCCGGAAUAGCCUUUCGAAAGAAAGAUUAAUACCGGAUGGCAUACGAAUAUCGCAUGAUAUUUUUAUUAAAGAAUUUCGGUUAUCGAUGGGGAUGCGUUCCAUUAGUUUGUUGGCGGGGUAACGGCCCACCAAGACUACGAUGGAUAGGGGUUCUGAGAGGAAGGUCCCCCACAUUGGAACUGAGACACGGUCCAAACUCCUACGGGAGGCAGCAGUGAGGAAUAUUGGUCAAUGGGCGAGAGCCUGAACCAGCCAAGUAGCGUGAAGGAUGAAGGCUCUAUGGGUCGUAAACUUCUUUUAUAUGGGAAUAAAGUUUUCCACGUGUGGAAUUUUGUAUGUACCAUAUGAAUAAGGAUCGGCUAACUCCGUGCCAGCAGCCGCGGUAAUACGGAGGAUCCGAGCGUUAUCCGGAUUUAUUGGGUUUAAAGGGAGCGUAGGUGGAUUGUUAAGUCAGUUGUGAAAGUUUGCGGCUCAACCGUAAAAUUGCAGUUGAAACUGGGAGUCUUGAGUACAGUAGAGGUGGGCGGAAUUCGUGGUGUAGCGGUGAAAUGCUUAGAUAUCACGAAGAACUCCGAUUGCGAAGGCAGCUCACUAGACUGUCACUGACACUGAUGCUCGAAAGUGUGGGUAUCAAACAGGAUUAGAUACCCUGGUAGUCCACACAGUAAACGAUGAAUACUCGCUGUUUGCGAUAUACAGUAAGCGGCCAAGCGAAAGCAUUAAGUAUUCCACCUGGGGAGUACGCCGGCAACGGUGAAACUCAAAGGAAUUGACGGGGGCCCGCACAAGCGGAGGAACAUGUGGUUUAAUUCGAUGAUACGCGAGGAACCUUACCCGGGCUUAAAUUGCAACAGAAUAUAUUGGAAACAGUAUAGCCGUAAGGCUGUUGUGAAGGUGCUGCAUGGUUGUCGUCAGCUCGUGCCGUGAGGUGUCGGCUUAAGUGCCAUAACGAGCGCAACCCUUAUCUUUAGUUACUAACAGGUUAUGCUGAGGACUCUAGAGAGACUGCCGUCGUAAGAUGUGAGGAAGGUGGGGAUGACGUCAAAUCAGCACGGCCCUUACGUCCGGGGCUACACACGUGUUACAAUGGGGGGUACAGAAGGCGGCUACCUGGUGACAGGAUGCUAAUCCCAAAAACCUCUCUCAGUUCGGAUCGAAGUCUGCAACCCGACUUCGUGAAGCUGGAUUCGCUAGUAAUCGCGCAUCAGCCAUGGCGCGGUGAAUACGUUCCCGGGCCUUGUACACACCGCCCGUCAAGCCAUGAAAGCCGGGGGUACCUGAAGUACGUAACCGCAAGGAGCGUCCUAGGGUAAAACUGGUAAUUGGGGCU